UGGUGGAGUGAUUUGUCCGGUUAAUUCCGUUAACGAACGAGACCUCGACCUGCUAAAUAGUUCGGCUAAUCCUUCUGGAUUCGUACGUUUGACUUCUAGAGGGACUAUCGUGUGGUUCAGCCGAUGGAAGUUCGAGGCAAUAACA
rnacentral:rRNA from 1 species